ACAGCAGUCGCCACGGUAAUACAGAGGGUGCGAGCGUUAAUCGGAUUUACUGGGCGUAAAGCGUGCGUAGGCGGCUUCUUAAGUCGGAUGUGAAAUCCCUGAGCUUAACUUAGGAAUUGCAUUCGAUACUGGGAAGCUAGAGUAUGGGAGAGGAUGGUAGAAUUCCAGGUGUAGCGGUGAAAUGCGUAGAGAUCUGGAGGAAUACCGAUGGCGAAGGCAGCCAUCUGGCCUAAUACUGACGCUGAGGUACGAAAGCAUGGGGAGCAAACAGGAUUAGAUACCCCAGUAGUCCCUGUCUCUUAUAA
rnacentral:rRNA from 1 species